GUGCUCGCUUUGACUGCACAUAUACUAAAAUUGGAACAACACAGAGAAGAUUAGCAUGGCCCCUGUGUAAGAAUAACAUGCAAAUUCGUGAAACGUUCUAUAUUUUU